rnacentral:rRNA from 1 species
GCAUACGGCCACACCACCCUGAAAGUGCCUGAUCUGGUCUGAUCUCGGAAGCGAUACAGGGUCGGGCCUGGUUAGUACCUGGAUGGGAGACCGCCUGGGAAUACCAGGUGUUGUAGGCU